rnacentral:rRNA from 1 species
GCUAACGUCCGUCGUGAAGAGGGAAACAACCCAGACCGCCAGCUAAGGUCCCAAAGUCAUGGUUAAGUGGGAAACGAUGUGGGAAGGCCCAGACAGCCAGGAUGUUGGCUUAGAAGCAGCCAUCAUUUAAAGAAAGCGUAAUAGCUCACUGGUCGAGUCGGCCUGCGCGGAAGAUGUAACGGGGCUAAACCAUGCACCGAAGCUGCGGCAGCGACACUAUGUGUUGUUGGGUAGGGGAGCGUUCUGUAAGCCUGUGAAGGUGUGCUGUGAGGCAUGCUGGAGGUAUCAGAAGUGCGAAUGCUGACAUAAGUAACGAUAAAGCGGGUGAAAAGCCCGCUCGCCGGAAGACCAAGGGUUCCUGUCCAACGUUAAUCGGGGCAGGGUGAGUCGACCCCUAAGGCGAGGCCGAAAGGCGUAGUCGAUGGGAAACAGGUUAAUAUUCCUGUACUUGGUGUUACUGCGAAGGGGGGACGGAGAAGGCUAUGUUGGCCGGGCGACGGUUGUCCCGGUUUAAGCGUGUAGGCUGGUUUUCCAGGCAAAUCCGGAAAAUCAAGGCUGAGGCGUGAUGACGAGGCACUACGGUGCUGAAGCAACAAAUGCCCUGCUUCCAGGAAAAGCCUCUAAGCAUCAGGUAACAUCAAAUCGUACCCCAAACCGACACAGGUGGUCAGGUAGAGAAUACCAAGGCGCUUGAGAGAACUCGGGUGAAGGAACUAGGCAAAAUGGUGCCGUAACUUCGGGAGAAGGCACGCUGAUAUGUAGGUGAAGUCCCUCGCGGAUGGAGCUGAAAUCAGUCGAAGAUACCAGCUGGCUGCAACUGUUUAUUAAAAACACAGCACUGUGCAAACACGAAAGUGGACGUAUACGG